GUGAAUUUGCAGGAACAACAAAUAAAACAGACACAAAUUACCUUUACAAAAGCUUCAGGAUGGCUCCUUCGCUCUCUGCCUCAGGAUCCCCAAAAGAGAAAGUCAUGAGACUGGUAAGAGAGAGAGCAUGUUUGGAAGUCGGCUUUUAUUGGGAGGACUCUUGUUCUUUAGAAAGUUCUAUCCUAAAAAGGGCAGAAUGGGCAGGGUUACAAAGGAGAGAGGAGUGAAACUGGCCCAUGGCACUAGUCUCAGCUGUAAGCAUGUUCUGGAGGCACGUGGGCUCUUACCCACUUAGCCAGGAUUAGUGCCCUCUUCCUUGAUGAAGGGAUGAAGACCCACCUUUACUGUCGCAUUUUUCAUGACUAAAACACUCAGGGUCAUUCCAAGUGAACUGGGCUGCACUAAAUAAUCACACAAGACAGAGAUACCUUUUUCUUUAGGUCCUGUGAUGGCUCCUCUGACCUUAAGGGUCCACAGAAAGAGAGGGAGAGAGCACGUGCUGAACCCCUUUAUUAAGGAGAAGCCAUUCAAAUGAGGCAAGGGGUCAGGUUUCAGGGGGUUGAAUCUAGCUUCCUAAUGUCUGCUGUCAGCAGGUUGACUGACAUCUAGGAAGGCCACACCCAAAGGCAGAGCAAGAGAAGGGGGACACACAAAGGUAGUUUCCAUGGAACAUUCUAUCCCAAACAGGGCAAAGGGGUAAUAUUACAAAGGAACAGGUGAGUGUAGCUCAACUCCAUGGGUGAUGCCUACAUCUGAAGAUAUGCCCUCAAACUUCCUGGACCAGGGCAAUGUCCAGAUCACUAUGAGAUGUAGUGACCAGUCAAAGCCAAUCAACAUAUAGGUAUAAUUGACCAUUACAGGAUAGAAGGUGCGAAUCAUUCAGAGUGGCUACCCCACAUAGUCCCCCUUUCUUAAUAUAAAAAAAAGCAACUGGGGAAUUAUAUCUUUCAGUCACUGGAUUCUUGGUUCGAGAUCAUCAUGAUCCACUAUGGAAACGCAAAAGGAAAUUAGUAGAAAACAUAUCAUUUCAGUAACACAAUCAACUUGGAAGAUUCGGGUUAUUAUUACUCUGUCAAACACUCAUCAGAAAUUCUUAAUUUUUCCCCAAUUUUAUUGGGAAGCAUUGUGUUUGGCCAUAGUAACACAAACGUUUUCAUUUGGCAUGGCAUUUAAGCCUUUCCAUAAACCAUAGAGCAGAGGGCUCAGUCACAAUAUUUAUUACAGUGGCUUCUAGAGCAUUUUAAUUUAGUUCCCAUCUUUCCAUCAGCACUUCUCUGACUAUGAAGGAUCUUGGAAGUAAUUUAAGUCAAAUAUUAAGAAAACCCAAUAUGUUGUAAGUUUGAGACAUACCAUAAAGGCUGUAAUUGUACAAGCAAGGAAUAAUAUUUAGUCACUUUAAGGAUCAUGAGACCAGCAGCUUGCCUAGUUCUGGUUAAUUGACAUGCACCUGUUUCAAAGCCUGAAUAUUAAAUUUAGCUUAUUAUAGCUCUGAAAUAUCAGCUGGCAAUAACUAGUGAUACAAUAAGAUAAGUUGGAUGCUUACAGGCUACAGGAUAUUCAUCAUUCUUCCUCUCAAUUCUCACAUUUAGGGAGUUUAUUAGGUCUGUCAGUAAUGUAAAUAUUUUGAAGGCAGAAGUCAAACAAAAACAUCCUUUUGGGUGCCAUCUCACUGAGAGUUAAAAGUUUCUAGGAAUUAUGGCAUCCUCAUGUGAUUGUUCUUGUCCAUUUUAGAGACCAGCAUAAAAUAUCCACUAUUUCUAGAUAUCUUGUGUUCUACUGACAUGCACAAUCCAUCCACUUAGGAAAGGUGCCAGUUUCUACUGUAGAAUGAUUAGGGCGACAAUACAUUGGUGGAUAUUCUAUGUAAAUAACUGGUCUGUAUAGGAAAAAUCUAUUUUAGUAAUCUUUCUGACAAUUGUUCAAACAGGUAAAUAUAGUCUUAAUCUCUAAGGACCAGCAUGAUUGGCUGGUUCAGUUUUCUGAUAUGCUGUCUUUUUCUCAAAGGAUACUCCCAGACAGCCUGUUACCAUAGGAUCAACAGCUAGGGAUAACUGACCAUUACCAUCAGCACAAUUCAUCUAGUUUCAUUGGUGGACUUUCCAGUCCACACUACAAUGUACAUUAAAAACAGACCUGGGAAAUGGGUCCAUAGAAGUCUCUUCAUGAUUUUUACUUACGUGAUGAGCUCGUGAAGCUGCAUGGUUGUGAACUCUGCAGCUGGAAAUUCACCUUCCUGGGCCAGGUUUCUCAGUCAUUUUCAUGAUGACUGGUUUAAACUCUCCUUGGAAAUCUCAUGUUCAGCAGCAGUGAGAUUCUCAAUAUUACAAUUAAGAAAAUUUUGAAAUAUUUUUUAAUAUCUAGUGUGUGUCUCUAGGGUUCUAUUUUCCCCCAUCUCUUUAUUUAAUAAAAUUGAGUAAAGGCUUCGCAUAAGCCAUAGUAUCAUGGAUUUAAGUUAUAGAUAAUAGUACAAGUAUUUAAAUGAUAAGAAUAGAUUUACCUUUCAUUGAUUAUUGUAAUUUUCCAAUAUAGACUAGUUAAUUUAUCUUAACAAUUUAGAAAGAACCCUCAAUCUCUCUCUGAGAAAAGGUCUCAAAAUAUCUAUAUUUUAGAAUAUUAUCUGUUAAAUAGGUGUCUCUUAAUUGUCUUUUAGAAAAUAUGAUUAAGGUUACUUCCCAGUGUAGGGAGUAAUAUAUAAGUUUUAGCAUAUUUUUAUGGGUAAUAGGUCCAAUCAGAGAACUUAUAUAAUACUAAUGAAUUUUUAACAAGGUUUGUAACUUUUAUUGCUCAAAACUAACAUAUGACUUUAAUUUGGAAUACCUUAGUCUUAGUAAAAUGUUCUCCCAAAUCUCAUAAUUAUCCAACAAGCAGAAUAUGUAAGAAUCAGCAGUGUCUUUGAAUAAAUCAAAUUUAGUCUUCAAGGAGAAUUGUCAAAAUUGGGACAUAAAUCAGCAAUUUAACAUAUUUAGUGUUUAAUCAAGGAUGAGAAUUUAUUCACCAAAAUUAAUCCUUGCCUUAAACAGUAAUAAUCAUUAGACAAUAAAGACCUUCCUUAAAGGAAAUAAACUUAACAUCUUAAUAGGUCUUUAUCAUGUCAAAAUAUGGACAAAAUCUCAGCUCACAUCAGCAUAGUUAAAUCAGGGAAAUAGCCUGAAAUAGCCUUGAAUUAAUCAGUUAAAAUUUUUAUAGUCAUUCCAGGACAUAUAAAUCUUUUUUUUAAUUGUUUUAACUUUCUAUAUCAUCUGUCUAGAUAGUUAUAUAAAGAUCUUUCUAUUUAGGAAAAUACUUUUAUCAUUAAAAUCUAGAAUAUAAGGACCUUGCUUCACCCAAAGAUGAUUUCUUCUUUUUAGGAUCUCCAAAAUGUGCUUCCAUUCUGUUGAAGCAUCUUUUUCUUUUACAGUUUUUCCUGGUUAUACUUUGGAACAAUUUCUGAAAACCUUAGAAUCUAAACAAAUUUUUGAUAAGAAAUGUCUCAAUGAAAAUAUAGUUAAAGUCCUUGGAUAUUUCUCUAGACAGAAUUAUAUUUGUUUAUCAUCUUAUAAAGUUUGUACAAUAACUUUGAGAAUUAAAGAUUACUUAAAGGUUGUAUUCUCUCUUGAAAGCAAAUUUAUAUUUAAAUACACUUAUCUCAAAUAUCUGUAACUAAAAGGUA
rnacentral:lncRNA from 1 species